CAGCAGCCACGGGAAUACAGAGGGUGCGAGCGUUAAUCGGAUUUACUGGGCGUAAAGCGUGCGUAGGCGGCUUCUUAAGUCGGAUGUGAAAUCCCUGAGCUUAACUUAGGAAUUGCAUUCGAUACUGGGAAGCUAGAGUAUGGGAGAGGAUGGUAGAAUUCCAGGUGUAGCGGUGAAAUGCGUAGAGAUCUGGAGGAAUACCGAUGGCGAAGGCAGCCAUCUGGCCUAAUACUGACGCUGAGGUACGAAAGCAUGGGGAGCAAACAGGAUUAGAGACCCGAGUAGUCCCUGUCUCUUAUAC
rnacentral:rRNA from 1 species